AUUGAACGCUGGCGGCAUGCCUUACACAUGCAAGUCGAACGGCAGCGGACCUUCGGGUGCCGGCGAGUGGCGAACGGGUGAGUAAUAUAUCGGAACGUACCUUUCAGUGGGGGAUAACGUAGCGAAAGUUACGCUAAUACCGCAUAUUCUGUGAGCAGGAAAGCAGGGGAUCGCAAGACCUUGCGCUGAUUGAGCGGCCGAUAUCAGAUUAGCUAGUUAGUGAGGUAAGGGCUCACCAAGGCGACGAUCUGUAGCGGGUCUGAGAGGAUGAUCCGCCACACUGGAACUGAGACACGGUCCAGACUCCUACGGGAGGCAGCAGUGGGGAAUUUUGGACAAUGGGCGCAAGCCUGAUCCAGCCAUGCCGCGUGAGUGAAGAAGGCCUUCGGGUUGUAAAGCUCUUUCGGCCGGGAAGAAAUCGCACAGGUUAAUACCCUGUGUGGAUGACGGUACCGGAAUAAGAAGCACCGGCUAACUACGUG
rnacentral:rRNA from 1 species